CCGAAUUUAUGACUCUAAUUAAAUGCCGUUUACAUCCUCUAUCUCCAGAUGGAAGGAGGUGGCAAACACCCGAGUCUUUUCCAGCAUCUGCCUUGGCCUGAGGACGCUGCCUCCCUGCUUCCCACAAGACCAGCUCAGGGCUGUAGCGGCGGCCCGCUCCCAAGAAAGCUCGUCACCAGGGCUGCACAAUUUCAGAAAUAAAGCUGUACCACCUCUGGGAGCGGAGGCUCACCCGGUUGUUGGAAUAUCUCAGUCGAAGGCUCCCCUUUGCCUUGUGAGCCCAUACAAGACCAUUCGGAGGAGACCCUGGGAGGCUGUGGAUUUGCCCGGCCCUGGAGAGAACAGAGCCUGGACCCGUGUUGGGAGGGGGAAACGGAGGCUCUUCCUGACUUGAAAGUCUUUGCUGUUCCCUGUAAACAUGACGUCUCUCGCGUGGAACGGAGAAUCCAGUUCAAAGCGAGAAGGAGGUGGUGAGCUCGGUGGACAGUACCCAGGUUCUGGCACCAACCACGUGGCCUCGGUGCUGGUUUAGAACCCUGGAUCUUUGGCUGUUUGAUGAGACUGGUUCCAGGGGGCACCCUUGGACGCUGUCAGUUUGAAGAACAGAUCUGCGGAGUGUCUGAUUUAUAACUGACAGUCACGCGAAGGGAGGAAUAGCUUCACCUUGUCGUCUACCUACUCUGCGCCUGGUCCUUGUAAGGGAGGAGACUCACAGAGACAUUACAGAUCACAGAGGUACAGCUCUGGGGGAGCUGCGACCCCCGUCAGGCUCUGUUGGACCACCUGUCUAUGGGACCACAGUGCUUUGCCUCCCCUUGUCGGAGAGAGCCAGAGGGAAAAGGCCAGGGGUCAAGUGCUGCCCCUUCCCGCUCUAAAAUGCCUGUUUCUCUUGGCUGUGCGAGACCUUCAGAGCUGGUCAGCACAGUGCGGAGUGUUUGGCUGUGACGCAGAGCCCUGGGGACUAGCUCCGCCUGCCAGUCUGGGGCUGUAUGCUUGGCGGCUGUGGGAAUCAACCUCCUGAAACUUCUUCCCAAGAUGUGGACGGGGAAUGGGGUGCCCAGGUUCAUGUGGGAGUCGUGUUUAUGGUGCUCAGCCUCCAGAUGGAACGGAAACUGGUUCCAUCUGAUAUCCUGAUGUGCGGAGUGGGCGACAGGACAUCAGAAUAUUUAGACGUGCAGACAAUUGGCUGAAUUUGUAUUUAGUGUACAGGCAUUUAGAGACUCAGAGGUUGGGAUGAGGAGAGAAGAGACUGACAAAUUAUCUGGUGCGAUCCUCUCAUUUUACAUGUCAAAUAAAUGGAACCAGAAAGGUGAAACGCCUACCUAAACUCGCCAGCAAGAGGGUGGAAACUGUUAGCCUGGGCCAGUGUCCCGGUCAGCCACCUACCCUUCCAGAUGUGAGGGAGGCAUUGGUGCUGACUGUUCCUGACCCCAGUGAUUACAGGACACUAAUUACUGCCCCUGCCAGGGAUGCAGAGACACUGGACUCCAUUCCUGCAAUGCCUGGCUGUUGCCAGCUGCUGCAAAAAUUUCAAUCAAAGGGCUUCUCAUGGCCCCAAAGACUCUGCACCUUCCCCAGUGCCCCCCAGUGCCUGAGACUUGAAGAUUCGGAAUCUGUUGGCUCUACUGAUGGGUGGCAGGAAGGGUGGUCUGGAUCACAGGUGUGCAGUUGGUGAAAUGUCUUUGGCUCUCCCAUCUGCCCCUUGUAUGGAUGCCCUUCUGUAAGCGUCUCUUUUGGUGGAGGGACGCCAUCAGGAAAUACUUUGUACUAGAACAAUUGUUCUCAAAAGUGUGACCCUUGGCACAGUGCCAUCGACACCACCCAGAUCUACUAUUUGAACAAGUCCUUCGGGUAAUUUUGAUGCCUCCUCUUGAGGUAACCAACCAUUUUGACUUUGAACCCAACAACUCUUCCAUGAAGGGGCCGGCAAAGGUGGAGACCCAGGAGGUGGGCAGCUUGCUCGGGGCAGAGCCUCGAAGGCCCAGGGGUCCCGCCCCCGUGCCGCACACUCGCCAGGCUCACCCCCAGACAGAGGCUGGUUCUUUCAGAAAUGGACCGAAAAUGACCUCAGGCUCCUGAGCUUAAGGGGCUCCCUGACUCCUUCCCGAGUUUUCGGGCAUCCUAGGUAUCCAGUGAGACAGGACAACAGCUCAAAGCCGGCAGACGGGUCUGGGCUGGCCAGCCAGCUUGCUCUCUGUCAGCCGGGGUCCCUUUAAGACGCAGAACUGGGGAGGUCAAAUGCAGGCCAGUGGAAGUUUCCACGCUCCGUGUGUCUGGGCCCGCGUCUCUGUCUAUCUCUGCUGGGGAAGGGUGGGCCCUGUUCCCACAGGCCUGAGAUUUAUGACUUCAGUCUGGGAGGCGGUGUUGGCCUUUACUUCUUGGCAUGAACAAUGGUAAACAGAGUUGCAGAGAAAAUUUGGAACUGGUAUCCGUCAGCCUGAGUCAGACUAACUCUCUGGUUCUUUCUUUGUGAGUUGUGCAUGCGCGCGCGCGCACACACACACACACACACACAAUGUGCACGUGUGCCAGCUGUAAAAUGAGACAAGAGUCAUAGAAUGGUUGGCUUUGAGAUCUCAAAUACUCAACCCCAAUAAAUCACCAGACUCCCUUUGACCACUUAAGGCUUCAACUUUAGUGUCACCCGAAAAUAGCUUGAACACACACACACGCACACACACACUCUGAAAACCUUUCGCCUUGCCCCUAGCCCUCUCCAGCGCCUCUCAGAAACCUGGCCUUCUGAGUAAAGCUGGAAGUAUUUUCAGCCUGCCCCGUCCUGCAGUUAUCUGCUGAUGGAGAUAGACUCUCUGGCACCCCAGAUUUGCCCUUUAAUACCCUGAAAUAUUAAGAGGCAACAGCUGUAAGUACUGAAGGUUCACUUGGAGAUUAAAUGAGUCAAAGAUCAGUAGCCAACUGGCGGGAGACUUAAUUGUCAGGGCAGGACAUCUGGCCAGGUCAGAGAGACAGUGGUGUGGACGUGUGUGUGUGUGUGUGUGUGGUGGACGUGUGUGGUCCAUGUGUUGGGUGUGUGUGUGGUGUAUGUGUGUUCCCUGUGUGUGUGUGAGUGAUGACAGCAGGGAGACGGCUACCUUCAGCUUUCUACUUAGAGGUAAUUUUAAGUGGUCCCAUGUUUUCGGGGGUUUGGUCAAGGUUCUGUGCUUCUGGGAGAAUUACCCCCACUUUUGUCCAUUGAGGACAGUAGGUCACAGUGGUUUAAGACACAGACUCUGAAAUCAGACCCUCUGGCCCUGUUACUUCUACCUGUGUGACUUGGGCAAAUCCUCCCCUUCUCUGAGCCUCAAUUUCCUUGCCUAUAAAACGGGCAGGAUCAGAGAGUUACCAUCGGAGACUGCGGACCGCCUAGCGCAGGGCCGGAAAACUGAAGUUACUAUCAUUCCUUGAUAUUCUUCCUCAACUGACAUUUGAGUUAUUCCACAUCAUUUCCUCACCUGAAGCAAUGCACACAUUACCUAGAGCUCUUACUUCUCACACGGAGAUGACCCACACCCACUUUGUUUCCUUAAAGAAGUCGCACACAAGGUGUCACCACUCUGCCACUGAAGCAAAAAGUGCAUCUCCUCUGAACUCAGCUCUCGGCCUGGCACCUGGUGCUUGUGGCUUUAAAUGGGGGCAGGGUCAAAGGGCAGGGCUGGCUGAGUGAUUAUGACAACAGAGUGACCCCCAGGAGAGGCAGGACUCCAGCAGUUUUCAUCUGCAUCCUUUCCUGAGCCCAGGAGGGUGCUCUCUGCAGAGAAACCCAUCAGGUACACAGGCACAGCCCUGGACAGGAGCCCCAGGUGCUGGGAAGCACCUUGGACGUGGUGUCGGGAGCCCUGGGCAUGGCUCUGUGGUCUGUCCCUGACCGGCUGUGGAAGCUGGGCCCAGCUGCCUUGCCUUGUCGGGCCUCGGUGUCCUCUGCACAUCCACUAUCAGGCUUGGCUGUUCCUCCUGCAGACUUCAUGCUGAUCCCUGACUUCCCUCCCUGCACAUGCUCGCAGGGGCUCAUGGGCACACAACACAUGGCCAAGCAUACAGGCUCACAGAGGCACACGUGUACACACACACACACACAGGUGUGCUCUUCAGCCCCUGAAUCCUACCCAGGUCCAGGUCCACCUCCUGCCUUCCUGGUUUCCCAUCACACCCUGACCACCUGCUUGUCUGAACCCCAAAGGCGGCCCCGCACAAAGGCCCUUCAGCUUCCUUGUCAUGUUUGGCUUGUGGGUUGUCCUGUGCUGUUUUUAUGUCUCCAGGUGCGUAGUUAGUUAAUUCCCUGACAUCCCAGGCUCCACCCAGAUCUUCCAUAGUGUGCGGAACUGAACUUCCUGUGACGCUGGGGACACUUAAACUUCAGGGCCUGCCAUCAGCACAGUGUGAUUACGCGGUCAUAUGUUUUCAUAUCAUUGGUGAAUAGCCUCCGCCUCCACACGGUUCCUUGACCUACCACGUUGGACAGCUUCAGCGAUGCCCACCCUGACUCGGCCAUAAGGGGCAGCCAACCCCCCAACCCACAUUACGCACUUCCAUGGAGGUCAUUCUGUUUUAUCGUCUCAUAGACAUUAUCAUCCCCAUUUUAAAGCAACCAAUGAAAACCCAGGUUUGCCAAGAUUCGGCAAUGUCAUAUAUGGUGUGAUCUACUGUUGAAAUUUGAACUCCCUCAAGCUGGCGGUUUGCGUGGUAUCUGACAGUGUUGAGUAUCCUGAUGUGUUCCUGGAUAAUUAAAAAUAUCCCUCGGUGCCCUUGUGGGUUCCCCGUGGCAUCCUGGAGUUCCUUGGCACACAGUUUGGGGACUGCAGAAAUAUAUUCUCUUCCAUUUUGUUGAAACAAACUGUCUUCUUCAUUUGCCCCUUUUGGUCUAGCUUUCGAUCGACACAUGAGAAAUAUUUCUCUUCUCUCUUGACUGUAGCAAAAGAUAACCAGCCCGACAGCAUGAUGAAUAGCAACUGGCCGUCAACCUCAGUUCCAGGGGAGCUGGGGCACAAGCUCUGUCUAAAGAGGGCAGCUUCACCUCAGCUCCAUCCAUAAAGCCUGAUGGAAAUGAGGUGGCAACAUGUUUUAAAGGAAAGCAGAAAAUACAGACUAUUUAUGUGAAGUAUCCCAACAUUCAGAUACCAGCAACUAAUUCUAACGUAUUAUUUAUAAAUAUGGGUAAGUCAGUACUAUGCUACCCCAAACAAAAUCAAAUCUACAGGUGGUGUUUUGCUUGAGAGUCACCAGCUUGGGACACGUUAUUAUGUAACUAUUAAGAAUGACAUUUCUGCUAAUCACAAGGACACAUGUUCAUGGUUUAUUUAGUAAAAAAGAGGUAACUAACAAAAAGCAUGAUGCCUUUCUUGACCAUCAUCAAAAAGUCUACAAAUAAUAAAUACUGGAGAGGGUGCAGAGAAAAGGGAAUCCUUCUACACUGUUGGUGGGAAUAUAAAUUGGUGCAGCCACUAUGGAGGACAAUAUGGAGAUUCCUUAAAAAGCUAAAAACAGAAUUAGCAUGUCAUCCAGCAAUCCCACUCCUGGGCAUAUAUCCAGAAAAAGACAAAAACUCUCAAUUUGAAAAGAUGCAUGCAUCCCAAUGUUCAUAGCAGCACUGUUUGCAAUAGACAAGACAUAGACGCAACCUAAAUGUCCACCAACGGAUGAAUGAAAAAAGAAGAUAUGGUACAUAUAUAUACAAUGGGAUAUUACUCAGCCAUAAAAAAGAAUGAAAUAAUGCCAUUUGCAGCAACAGGGAUGGACCUAGAGAUUAUCAAAUUCAGUGAAGUUAGUCAAUCAAAGACAAAUAUCAUAUGACAUCACUUGUAUUUGGAAUCUGAAAAAAUGAUACAAAAGAACUUAUUUGCAAAACAGAAUAGACUCACAGAUAUAGAGAACAAAUUUAUGGUAACCAAAGGGGAAAGAUGGGGGAGGGAUAAAUUAGGAGUUUAGAAUUAACAGAUACACACUGCUAUAUAUAAAAUAGAUAAGCAACAAGGUCCUACAGUAGAGCACAGGGAACUAUGUUCAAUAUCUUGUAAUAACCUAUAAUGGAAAAGAAUCUGAAAAAGAAUAUGUAUAUAUGUAUAACUGAAUCACUCUGCUGUACAUCUGAAACAUUGUAAAUCAACUAUACUUCAAUAA